rnacentral:sRNA from 1 species
GACAAAUCGGUGGAGGACGGCUGGGGUCCGGCCCCGGGAGGGGGCGGGGCGCGUUUAAGAGCUGCGGGCCGGGUGCGGACGGCGGAGGCGGCGGGACUGGUCCCUGCUCUUCAGUGGGUCAUCUGUGUGUCACAGCCUCAGAAGACCAGCGAGAUGGCUGCCAACAAGAGUAAGGGCCAGAGCUCCUUGGCCCUCCACAAGCAACUGCCGAAUUCAGGGAACAGAUUCUCCGUGUGAAGGCUGAAGAAGAUAAAAUUCCACUGCUCGUCGUGGGAAACAAGUCUGACCUAGAGGAGCGGAGGCAGGUGCCUGUGGAGGAGGCCAGGAGUAAAGCCGAAGAGUGGGGCGUGCAGUACGUGGAGACGUCAGCGAAGACCCGGGCCAACGUGGACAAGGUGUUCUUUGACCUAAUGAGAGAAAUCAGAACAAAGAAGAUGUCAGAAAACAAAGACAAGAAUGGCAAGAAAAGCAGCAAGAACAAGAAAAGUUUUAAAGAAAGAUGUUGCUUACUAUGAGUGUCAAGGUGACGGAUGAAGCCAGCUGCUCCUAAGGACACAGGGCUGGGUUGGUAAAGAGAAGGCUAUGGUUAACUUCUUGCUUGUGCUUCCCACUCUCCCCAACUUCAUUCACUCAAACUUCUUUAAAUGGGGAAAAAUAUUUGUGACUCAGUGGCUGGCAGAAGAAAUAAGCCCAUGCAAGUGGAAGGGCUGCUUUGUCAGGAGGUUGUGGAGUUUCUUUCUUCUCCCCUUCUUCCCUCCCAAAAGCUUAGCUAUGUAUGAAGUGCCACAGAUAGGAAACAGCUGUUAAUUACAAAGAGAAAGAAUUGUCAUAGCAUCUUAUUUUGUUCCUAGUUUUAUAACAUUACCAUCCUUCGUUUCGAACUACAGAUGUUGUAGUGGGUUUCGGAGGAGGGAGUGGAGUAAGAUGCCUUCCCACUUUUAUCAGUUUAGUAGUAGUACUGAGAAAAAUCCCUUCAGCUCUAAGAACACUGAAAAAUCCACCGAUUUUUUGGGUAAGCUUCUUGGCAAUACCCUGUGGAUCUGAAACAGCUAAAGAAAUGAAUUUGAAUUGCGCCAGAUAGGUCAAUACCAAGCUUCUGAUUCCUCCUCACAUAUGAAAAGUGAAAGUUGUGAGUUGUUUUCCUCUUAUUUAAACAUUGGCCUAUUAUAAUCUGUGUUGGUUAUUUUUCUCCUGUAAGCAUCCUGAUUUUUAUGUAGGAACUUUUCUUUGGCAGACCAAGUGAAGACUCAGGAAUGGUGUGCAUUAUAAAUGACACACGUUGCCACUCGUGUAGAUAUUUUUAAGUUCUUUGGCUAAGUCCUCUCCUAACUGCCUGUCCUCUGGUUAGGCCCCUCCCUCUCCACUAGUGGUGAAUGCAUGUGUCUGUCUGAUCAGCAUCACUGCACACGGAGGUCUAGUGAGCCUCUUGCUAAGUGUCACACACACUCUUCCCAAAGACGUGAUGAGUUAAAGUUGUAUUCUGAAAUCGUGAAGCCAGAGCCUGUGCCAGACCUUCUGCUACCUCUCAUAGAAUUGCUCUGUAAUUCUAAAUUUAAAAUUAGAAGUAGAGAGAGAUAAAGCCAUCGCCCCUUUGCCUCUGAGAAUUGGCUGCUGUUUCUAAUAUAAUUAUUUUCUAAGAUAGCCAGAUAGUUAGAAAAAGAUUUUCAUUGAUGACAUAUCUUUAAACUUUCUUGCAUCAGUAUUCUAAAUUGAGCAAACUAAAAGAUUUUCAUCAGGAAAGGAGCACUGUGGUAAAAGCCCAGUAUUCACAUUUUUUCCCCAUUUUUCAGAAGCAACACUUCAUAUAUAGGUGCCAAAAGUGAAUCGGGGUGCGGAGAGUGGGAACCUUUUGAAUUUAUGAUUAUCACAGAGAUGGUAGAAAUUAUGAUCUGACUGGAAAACAAUCCUGUAUCCCCUCCCAAAGAAUCAUGG